rfam:Drosophila persimilis strain MSH-3 cont1.003195, whole genome shotgun sequence.
UCAGUUACAAACUAGCAUCUGGGGCACACACAACGAGUAUCUGAUUACUCUUACUUUGCCCCGGGAAGGUCUGAGAUUUGGCCAAGCCUCCUUGUGUUGUUACAACAUGCAGUGCAUCGAGAGGUGCCUGUGUGUCGGAGGCUUAAUUUCCUAGCAGGAAACCUGUGUGAUUGCAGGACGAAAGUACCAGAAAUACUGCGGCUUGGCGUUGCCAUCGGCGCUCGCGUCUGACUGCCGCCUUGUUGCAUUGAAAACUUUCGUGGCCGGCUGUUUUAGUGCAAUGUGCUUGCUGCAAAGCCUCCGGGCAACGCAGAACUCAAUUCAGACUAAUCUGUGACUGA